rnacentral:rRNA from 1 species
UACGUAGGGUGCAAGCGUUAAUCGGAAUUACUGGGCGUAAAGCAUGCGCAGGCGGCUAUGCAAGACAGAUGUGAAAUCCCUGGGCUCAACCUGGGAACUGCAUUUGUGACUGCAUGGCUAGAGUGCGGCAGAGGGGGAUGGAAUUCUGCGUGUAGCAGUGAAAUGCGUAGAUAUGCGGAGGAACACCGAUGGCGAAGGCAAUCCCCUGGGCCUGCACUGACGCUCAUGCACGAAAGCGUGGGGAGCAAACAGG